GACGAACGCUGGCGGCGUGCUUAACACAUGCAAGUCGAACGGAAAGGCCCUGCUUUUGUGGGGUGCUCGAGUGGCGAACGGGUGAGUAACACGUGAGUAACCUGCCCUUGACUUUGGGAUAACUUCAGGAAACUGGGGCUAAUACCGGAUAGGAGCUCCUGCUGCAUGGUGGGGGUUGGAAAGUUUCGGCGGUUGGGGAUGGACUCGCGGCUUAUCAGCUUGUUGGUGGGGUAGUGGCUUACCAAGGCUUUGACGGGUAGCCGGCCUGAGAGGGUGACCGGCCACAUUGGGACUGAGAUACGGCCCAGACUCCUUCGGGAGGCAGCAGGGGGGAAUAUUGCACAAUGGGCGGAAGCCUGAUGCAGCAACCCCGCGUGCGGGAUGACGGCCUUCGGGUUGUAAACCGCUUUCGCCUGUGACGAAGCGUGAGUGACGGUAAUGGGUAAAGAAGCACCGGCUAACUACGUG
rnacentral:rRNA from 1 species